UACGUAGGGUGCGAGCGUUAAUCGGAAUUACUGGGCGUAAAGCGUGCGCAGGCGGUUUUGUAAGCCAGAUGUGAAAUCCCCGGGCUUAACCUGGGAACUGCAUUUGGGACUGCAAGGCUGGAGUACGGCAGAGGGAGGUGGAAUUCCACGUGUAGCAGUGAAAUGCGUAGAGAUGUGGAGGAACACCGAUGGCGAAGGCAGCCUCCUGGGCUAGUACUGACGCUCAUGCACGAAAGCGUGGGGAGCAAACAGG
rnacentral:rRNA from 1 species